rnacentral:rRNA from 1 species
GCCGGGUUGCCGCGUACUCUCUGGAGUGACGGGUACACUGUGGGGACCGCCGCUGCUAAAGCGGAGGAAGGAAUGGGCAACGGUAGGUCAGUAUGCCCCGAAUGUCCCGGGCUACACGCGGGCUACAAUGGUUGGUACAAUGGGUAUCUACCCCGAAAGGGGAUGGAAAUCUCCUAAAGCCAAUCUUAGUUCGGAUUGAGGGCUGCAACUCGCCCUCAUGAAGCUGGAAUCCGUAGUAAUCGCGUUUCAAUAGAACGCGGUGAAUACGUCCCUGUCCUUGCACAAAACGUUCCCUUUCCUGCUCCGUGCACAAAUUGUCUUUAGGAGUUUUUGUGUCUCCUAUCGGGGUAGUUGCACAUUGUACC